rnacentral:pre_miRNA from 1 species
UGUUAAAAUUUUCAUUCAUUUAUAUUGUUAAAAACUAGUGUGAUUGACAAAAAUAAUUAGACAGUGACAUGUGACGUGCCACGUGUACCUCAUGCUAACGUACACGGAUCAAUUUUUAACAACAGAAUUGGAUCAAAUGUUUAAUA